rnacentral:rRNA from 1 species
GAUGAACGCUGGCGGCGUGCCUAAUACAUGCAAGUCGAGCGAACAGACGAGGAGCUUGCUCCUCUGACGUUAGCGGCGGACGGGUGAGUAACACGUGGAUAACCUACCUAUAAGACUGGGAUAACUUCGGGAAACCGGAGCUAAUACCGGAUAAUAUAUUGAACCGCAUGGUUCAAUAGUGAAAGACGGUUUUGCUGUCACUUAUAGAUGGAUCCGCGCCGCAUUAGCUAGUUGGUAAGGUAACGGCUUACCAAGGCAACGAUGCGUAGCCGACCUGAGAGGGUGAUCGGCCACACUGGAACUGAGACACGGUCCAGACUCCUACGGGAGGCAGCAGUAGGGAAUCUUCCGCAAUGGGCGAAAGCUUGGCGGAGCAACGCCGCGUGAGUGAUGAAGGUCUUCGGAUCGUAAAACUCUGUUAUUAGGGAAGAACAAAUGUGUAAGUAACUAUGCACGUCUUGACGGGACCUAAUCAGAAAGCCACGGCUAACUACGU